AGCGGCGGACGGGUGAGUAACGCGUGGGUAACCUGCCUCAUACAGGGGGAUAACAGUUGGAAACGGCUGCUAAUACCGCAUAAGCGCACAGUACCGCAUGGUACGGUGUGAAAAACUCCGGUGGUAUGAGAUGGACCCGCGUCUGAUCAGGUAGUUGGUGGGGUAACGGCCUACCAAGCCGACGAUCAGUAGCCGACCUGAGAGGGUGACCGGCCACAUUGGGACUGAGACACGGCCCAA
rnacentral:rRNA from 1 species